UACGGGGGGGGCAAGCGUUGUUCGGAAUUACUGGGCGUAAAGGGCUCGUAGGUGGCCAACUAAGUCAUACGUGAAAUCCCUCGGCUUAACCGGGGAACUGCGUCUGAUACUGGAUGGCUUGAGUUCGGGAGAGGGAUGCGGAAUUCCAGGUGUAGCGGUGAAAUGCGUAGAUAUCUGGAGGAACACCGGUGGCGAAGGCGGCAUCCUGGACCGACACUGACGCUGAGGAGCGAAAGCCAGGGGAGCAAACGGG
rnacentral:rRNA from 1 species